AUGUACCCUCGUCGCCGUGAACGCACUGUUGCUGCACCACCACAACCGAACAGGUGGCUUCCUCCACCAAGAGCGCUCGUGAAGAUUAAUGUUGAUGGGGCUGUGGUACGAUCACGGAGAGGAGGCGCAGUCGCUGCCCUAUGCCGCGACCAUGAUGGGCACUUUUUGGGCUCUUCGGCGAUGGUUUACUAUGGGAUUACGGACCCCUUAACCUUGGAGACAUAUGCAUGCCGUGAGGCUCUUGCUUUGGCGGAUGACCUGGGAGAAGCAAAAGAUUUGCGUGGCAUCGGACUGCGAAGAGGCGGUUAA
rnacentral:rRNA from 1 species